rnacentral:rRNA from 1 species
UGGGAACCUUCCCUAUGGUUCGGAAUAGCUCAGGGAAACUUGGGGUAAUACCGGAUAAGCCCUUCGGGGGAAAGAUUUAUCGCCAUUGGAUGGGCCCGCGUCGGAUUAGCUAGUUGGUGAGGUAACGGCUCACCAAGGCAACGAUCCGUAGCUGGUCUGGGAGGAUGAUCAGCCACACUGGGACUGAGACACGGCCCAGACUCCUACGGGAGGCAG